GAUGAACGCUGGCGGCGUGCCUAAUACAUGCAAGUCGAGCGAACAGACGAGAAGCUUGCUCCUUUGACGUUAGCGGCGGACGGGUGAGUAACACGUGGGUAACCUACCUAUAAGACUGGGAUAACUUCGGGAAACCGGAGCUAAUACCGGAUAAUAUUUCGAACCGCAUGGUUCGAUAGUGAAAGAUGGCUCUGCUAUCACUUAUAGAUGGACCUGCGCCGUAUUAGCUAGUUGGUAAGGUAACGGCUUACCAAGGCAACGAUACGUAGCCGACCUGAGAGGGUGAUCGGCCACACUGGAACUGAGACACGGUCCAGACUCCUACGGGAGGCAGCAGUAGGGAAUCUUCCGCAAUGGGCGAAAGCCUGACGGAGCAACGCCGCGUGAGUGAUGAAGGUCUUCGGAUCGUAAAACUCUGUUAUUAGGGAAGAACAAACGUGUAAGUAACUGUGCACGUCUUGACGGUACCUAAUCAGAAAGCCACGGCUAACUACGUG
rnacentral:rRNA from 1 species